rnacentral:rRNA from 1 species
UACGUAGGGUGCAAGCGUUGUCCGGAAUUAUUGGGCGUAAAGAGCGUGUAGGCGGUCCGGUAAGUCAGCUGUGAAAGUCAAGGGCUCAACCCUUGAAUGCCGGUUGAUACUGUCGGGCUAGAGUCCGGAAGAGGCGAGUGGAAUUCCCGGUGUAGCGGUGAAAUGCGCAGAUAUCGGGAGGAACACCAGUAGCGAAGGCGGCUCGCUGGGACGGUACUGACGCUGAGACGCGAAAGCGUGGGGAGCGAACAGG